AUGCAGUGCCUGUGCAGCUCCGGAAGAAAGAGGUCACGGCAGGAAAGUGGGUCCCAGACAGUUUCUUGGAGGCAGGUAAUCAGAUCAUGCUUACAGGAACAUCAAACCAAACACGUGCUUCUGCUUCCUCCUUGCGAUGAGCGUGGAGUCAGGGCAUAUGGGAUGGGAGUAACCUUUCGAUAUGAAAAUCUCCUGACAGAAGUCAGAGCCGGGCACGACGCCCCAUGGGCUUCCCAGACCCCACCUUGGGGUGCAGCGUGGUGCAGGUUUGGGGCUGGGUGCUGCAGCCUCCCACAGGGCCUCCAGCACAGCUCAAGAGCUCAGACAUACACUGCUGGAGCUCCACAGGAUCUGCUCCUCCAGGGCCAAAGCAGAGGACUCAUGCCUUCCCUUGGAGGAAUGGGUACGGCAACCCGGGGUCACAUUGCCCACCCAAGCCUGGGGUCCAGCAUCACUGUGAUAACUCAGUACUAGACAGCAGACACGCUGCAGAGGUAACACAACAAGCCUUUGCAAAAGAGGUGCAUCUCCCGUUCCCACAGUAUGUGCUCACAGGACUACAGUGACACACUGAGAUUCCAACAGUUCUGGCCACUGUGCAGCACUCAGAGCCAUAAGAAACAGAAUCCUCCAAAAAACUCUAGGCAGUCACCUGGACAGAAGCACUACGGAGCAGUACUGCUGAGCAAGAGCAGACACCCGUGUUUCCAUGUUUGUCUGAUCUGUCCUAGAAUUCACUUCUGAGAAGAUGUCAUCUUGUGGUAUUGUCUUAGGACACAUAUGUUUAAUGACAGAUACAACGUCACACUGAAACAGCCUUUGGCAGUCUACAAAAAACAACCUUAGGAUGAUACCGUGUCAGGGCUGCAUGGCACCAGUAGCAGUGACAGGCUGCCCAAAAGCACCAAGCUGCUGCAGGAUGCUCUUGACAGCCCAGCACCUCUCCCAGCCCCCACUGGCAGGUGACAGCACAGCCUGUGGGACCCUCCGUCCCCACGAGGAGCACAGCCACUCUGCCUGCACACCAAAUCCAGGGCAGGAUUCACGUCCGCAGGUGUUGGAAGGACAUCACUUGAGCAGGGCACACCAUCCUGAUCUCACACACCAGAGUAGCUGCAUGCUUGCUAACAGUAUUUACUUCGAGCUGGUCAACACAGAAUUGAUAAAGAUGAGUCAUGAUUUCAGUAGAGAAAAUGAGAAAAAAUUAAAUUGUGAUGCAAUCUUGCAGUGAUUGGAGGAGAAGGAACCCUUGGAGCCUCUAUCAUUUCUAGAGUUCUUCGUGCACUGCUCGGCCUGCAGCGGGUGGGAACAGAAAUCCAAGGCACAGCAAAGAUCUUGUAGAGAACCCAAAUCCAGCUCUGGUUCUAGUUCUGUGGGUAUUGUUUUUUUCCUCCCUCACAGGUUGCAGUGCAGGUCUAAGCUGAUGCACAGCACCAAGUCACCACACCGCAGCUGUGUUAUUAAUAGCACAGCU
rnacentral:lncRNA from 1 species